rnacentral:rRNA from 1 species
UGGGGAAUUUUUGCACAAUGGGGGAAAGACCCUGAUGCAGCGACGCCGCGUGGAGGAAGAAGGCCCUCGGGUUGUAAACUCCUGUCUUUGGGGGACGAUAAUGACGGUACCCAAGGAGGAAGCCACGGCUAACUACGUGCCAGCAGCCGCGGUAAAACGUAGGUGGCAAGCGUUGUCCGGGAAUUACUGGGUGUAAAGGGAGCGCAGGCGGAGCGGCAAGUUGGAGGUGAAACUCAUGGGCUCAACCCAUGAACUGCCUUCAAAACUGUCGGAUCUUGAGUGGUGUAGAGGUAAGCGGAAUUCCCGGUGUAGCGGUGGAAUGCGUAGAUAUCGGGGAGGAACACCAGUGGCGAAGGCGGCUUACUGGGCGGUAACUGACGUUGAGGCUCGAAAGCGUGGGGAGCAAACAGGAUUAGAUACCC